GAUGAAGAACGUAGCGAAAUGCGAUAAGUAAUGCGAAUUGCAGAAUUCCGUGAGUCAUCGAAUCUUUGAACGCACAUUGCGCCCUUUGGCAUUCCGAAGGGCAUGCCUGUUCGAGCGUCAUUUAUCAACCCUCAAGCCCGGCUUGCGGUUGGGUCCCGCCGUGGGCGACCACGGCGGACCCGAAAGGUAAUGGCGGUGCCCGUGGGGCCCUGGACGCAGCGAGCUUCUCGGCACGCGUCCCGGCGGUCCCCGGCGCCGUCUCCACCAAUCCACCACGCAGAUUGACCUCGGAUCAGGUAGGGAUACCCGCUGAACUUAAGAAUAUCAAUAAGCGGAGGA
rnacentral:misc_RNA from 1 species